UACGAAGGGGGGCUAGCGUUGCUCGGAAUCACUGGGCGUAAAGGGUGCGUAGGCGGAUUUCUAAGUCAGGGGUGAAAGCCUGAGGCUCAACCUCAGAACUGCCUUUGAUACUGGAAGUCUUGAGACCGGAAGAGGUAAGUGGAACUGCGAGUGUAGAGGUGAAAUUCGUAGAUAUUCGCAAGAACACCAGUGGCGAAGGCGGCUUACUGGUCCGGUUCUGACGCUGAGGCACGAAAGCGUGGGGAGCAAACAGG
rnacentral:rRNA from 1 species